rnacentral:rRNA from 1 species
UACGGAGGGAGCUAGCGUUAUUCGGAAUUACUGGGCGUAAAGCGCACGUAGGCGGCUUUGUAAGUUAGAGGUGAAAGCCUGGAGCUCAACUCCAGAAUUGCCUUUAAGACUGCAUCGCUUGAAUUCAGGAGAGGUGAGUGGAAUUCCGAGUGUAGAGGUGAAAUUCGUAGAUAUUCGGAAGAACACCAGUGGCGAAGGCGGCUCACUGGACUGGUAUUGACGUUGAGGUGCGAAAGCGUGGGGAGCAAACAGG